AGUAGUUUGAUCAGUGGCUCGAGGACGAACGCUGGCGGCGUGCUUAACACAUGCAAGUCGAACGGAAAGGCCCUGCUUUUGUGGGGUGCUCGAGUGGCGAACGGGUGAGUAACACGUGAGUAACCUGCCCUUGACUUUGGGAUAACUUCAGGAAACUGGGGCUAAUACCGGAUAGGAGCUCCUGCUGCAUGGUGGGGGUUGGAAAGUUUCGGCGGUUGGGGAUGGACUCGCGGCUUAUCAGCUUGUUGGUGGGGUAGUGGCUUACCAAGGCUUUGACGGGUAGCCGGCCUGAGAGGGUGACCGGCCACAUUGGGACUGAGAUACGGCCCAGACUCCUACGGGAGGCAGCAGUGGGGAAUAUUGCACAAUGGGCGGAAGCCUGAUGCAGCAACGCCGCGUGCGGGAUGACGGCCUUCGGGUUGUAAACCGCUUUCGCCUGUGACGAAGCGUGAGUGACGGUAAUGGGUAAAGAAGCACCGGCUAACUACGUG
rnacentral:rRNA from 1 species